ensembl:lncRNA
CGCAUUGACAGGCCACCACCAGGCAACGAUGCCGAGGGGCCGGAGGACAAGAGGGGCAGGGAAGCGGCACUACCCUGCUUACAGGGUGGCCUCGGGGUCCGGCGAGCUCCAUUUCCCACUCAGGUGCGGAGAGGUGGCUCUCGCCCUCCGUUACAGGGGGCCACGCUCCCCAGGCAGCCCUAGGAGCAGCAAGGCAAAAGGCCAACUACAGCAAAGACCCGAGCCCUGCUUACAGGGAGGUCGCCCAGCACAAAGCCGGCCGGGUCGCCAAAGGCGCCGGCAACGCUCAACUCAAAUGCGACUGCGGCCCCGCUAACGGGACAGGUGCUUUGCCCAGGGAGCCUCUCUCCUUCCCCCCCGCAUCUGCACGCUUCCGCAUCCUCUUCUUGCUCGCUCCUGCCGCCCAGGUCCCCACGCCGCUGCUUCUUCUUUCUUCUGCAGCAGCUCCUGAAACAUCAGCGGGGACACCAUUAGACCCGCGCACUGGCAAGCCCCCCACCCGACGGAAAAGGCAAACGCAGCAUCGCAAAGGAACUCAGCACGCAAACACCCAGCCAAGAAAGGCUUUGCAAACCUGUUCCCUCCCCCCUCCACCUCCCCAGCUUCAUCCCAGCAAAAACUACUUUCAGCAGCUUUUCUCACCUCACUGACGCGCGGCGGACUUCCAGCCGGUGCUGCGGGGGAUCACAGAGGCGGGCAGGCUGGGCAAAUAUGUUUGGGCAAAUUUGGUUGGCAACAGAAUUAGCAGCGGCCAAAGAGCCAGCUUCCCUGCUUACAGGAGAUCCCCAGCCACUGCCUCUAUUACUAAGAGAUCUGUACUCAUCACUGUAACUGUUCUUUUUUAAGUCAAUCACGUUGCUAUCUGUACUAUCCUUAGAUCUGUGGAUACCCCUUCUAACAGUGAGGUUUUUUUUCCUGCAUGGUUACCUUAUUUUCUUUUUCAUUUGAGAUUCUGUGUUCCACAUAUUCAUCUUAUUUUCUCAUUCCCCAGUUUUGAUCAGUGUAUUGAUAGGAUGUUUGAAGUGAGGCAGCCAACUCAGUACAUCUAGUGCUGUUGAUAGACUUAAGGAAGGACUGAAGAUUCUGACUUUAAGGCCUCCAUUUUUUUUAUAGUUUUCAAUGUUUUUUUUUAUUCAGAUUCAUCAUUGUUUUCAGCUUCUUAAACACCAGAACAGUAACUUAGUACUUUCCACUUUUCAACCUCAGUGUGUCUGUCAUGACAUGCCCCAUACCAACCACCCCAUUUGUUAUUG